AUGCUGCUGCUGGCAGCACUCAUGGCUACAGCCACUUGGUCGUGCGGAUUUUCACUAGAAAUCCCUGUGCAAAGCCCUGUAUCCAUCACCAAGUUCCAAAAAAGUGCACGGAUGACAUGUGAAAUUCAAACGUUAGAGGCAAAUUUUGACAACACUGUCAUACACUGGUAUCAACAGAAAGAGGGUAAAGCUCCAGAAAGGCUACUGUUCUUUUCCGGAGGGAAAGCUUCAGUUGAAAGCGGUUUUCAACAAAACAGGUACAUGGUUGAAAAAGUUUCUGGUCAGAACCGGUGUGUUCUUACAAUAAAAGAUGUAAUUCCAGAUGAUGCUGCUACUUACUACUGUGCCUACUGGGACCCUCACUGUGGUUGGAACUCAAAGAUCAUCAAGGCAAGAAAACCCUCCCCCAACAUCUGA